UUUCCGUAGGUGAACCUGCGGAAGGAUCAUUAAAGAGUAAGGGUCUUCGGGACCGAUCUCCAACCCUUUGGUUAACUACCAUGUUGCUUUGGCGGGCCCGUCUCACGACCGCCGGACGUUUGGCUUCGACCCAACUUCUGGCCCGAUCCCGUCAGUCGCCCCUUCAAAUUCUUGAUCAAGGAUGAUGUCUUAGUUAAAAACUAAAUAGUUAAAACUUUCAACAACGGAUCUCUUGGUUCUG
rnacentral:misc_RNA from 1 species